UUUGAAAACAUGAGCGCCUUCAGUACACAGACUGACUCCCUAUAACUCAUUCUGGUUUGUCAGCAGUAGACUCCAGCUCAGCUUUGGGUUUGUUUUUUCUGUCUUUACCUUUUCUUUUUUUUUUUUUUGGUAUAAUACAUGCUACCACAUCCCUCUAGCCAGUAACAGCCAGACUAGAAUAAAGCACAAGAUCUUUGCAACUGUCUCUCAUAUUAACUGCAGGAACAAAAAGCUGACAAAUAAUAAGGCUUUCUUCUUGUUUGCAGGUCAGUGAUCCAUUUUGAACCAUUCAGUGUGAAUAAACAUUGCUACAAUCCUCAAUUUUAAUAUGGGAAAACUUGAGUCGAGAGUGCAAGGUUGCCAUUUGGAUAAAGCCUAUGAACAGCAUCCAUCCAAGGAGAUGCACUAGGGGAAUUUUGGUUCAGGGAAACUGUAUGCUGUCUGACUGAAUUUUUAACUCUCUGGAGCCAGCUGUAUCCCUCAAAAGAAAGGUUAAGGAACUAGAUCUGCAUCUGAUGCAAACUACCCUAACUCCAUUAGUGUCAGAUGAAAUGCAGUGAUAUACACAAGUAGAAGAUCUGACUACAUAAAGCUGCCUUACCAUUACACAAUCCAUAUGCAUGCAGGAACAUGGAACUUAACAGUAAUAUAAUGAAACUGCAGUGAACUUCUGGAUAUGAAUUUGACCUACCUGUGGUUCAUUCUUGCCUGUGAAGGGUUUUGUUAGCCCCAAGGAACAGAAAGGUAAUAUGAACCAGGCCGGGGACACACGGGAACUCAUCACUUGAAGCUCCACUGUUUUCUGGCUGUGAGGGAACUCUUGUGGUUCGAAUGUUACAGUAAAUAUUGAAACCUGAAAUAAAUCUAUAAUUUGAGAUGAAA